rnacentral:tRNA from 2 species
GUUAAGAUGGCAGAGCCCGGUGAAUUGUAUAAAACUUAAAACUUUAUUAUCAGAGGUUCAAAUCCUCUUCUUAACA